GCGGAUGUGGCGGAAUGGCAGACGCGUUAGAUUCAGGGUCUAAUGGUCUUUUGACCGUGGGGGUUCAAGUCCCUUCAUCCGCACCA
rnacentral:tRNA from 1 species